UCGAUUCUGAAGGAUUGGGUACAAAGUUUGAAGUGCCAUUUGUACUGGUGUGCACUUUCCUCCCAGACACCGGAAGAAAAGAAGCAGAAGUGGCUGGCAUGUGUGGACCACCUGCAGAACGUGCACGAUAGUUGUUUACAUCCUCCAAUUACUACAAACAAAGCGUGGCUAUUACCAGGUACUGAAGUUAACGUCGCAGUGGUGGAACUCCUGACAAAGACCAUGUUUGUCAACGAUGUCAUGAAGAUGUCUCACCUCGGACAGACCAGUGGCGUUGAAACUUUUCACAGUGUGGUGAAUCACUUUGCUCCAAAGAUGUACCACUUCUCGUACAAAGGAAUGAAAAGCAGAAUCAUUCUCGCUGCUAUGCAUUAUAACGAAAAUGCUGGGAGACCACAGAAAGUGACGAAGGAAGGAAUACACUCCUACUGUAUCGUUUAUCCCAAAUAUAAGAGUGGUGGAUAUUCUCUGAGAAAGAUAUUGGUGGAUGC